GGCGGUGUAGUUUAACUGGAAGAAUGCCUGCCCGUCAAGUAGGAGGUCUAAGUUCGAGUCUUAUCCUCGCCA
rnacentral:tRNA from 1 species